AGCAGUGUGUCGUAGUGGUAAGGAGCAGGGCUUGUAACCACAGGGUUGCUGGUUCGAUUCCACGCUGGGACACUGCUG